UAUGAAAAUAGGACUUGAAGAGUACUGCUGAUAACUGUUACUUUUAGAUUAAUGACGUAGCAAGUUUGCAUAUAUACAUAUAUCAUUAUAUUAAAGUUUGAUGAAGUCAUGAUUACAAUAAAAGUAUUGCACAUGUUCAAUAUUGCAAGUUGUACAUAAAUCUGAUGUGGUAUAUAUUCCCAGCAAGAAACCCGUAAGCUGUAUUAUACAAACAGCAACUUUUCUUAUCCAAUAUAAAUUAGCUUAUAAAGGACAGAUUUUCUACAUUUCGAAAUAUGGAAUUUCCCAAUUUAGGAGAACAUUGUUCAGAACAAACUUGCAAUCGUUUAGACUUUUUACCUUUAAAGUGUGAUGCUUGCGAAGCUAUAUUUUGCACGGAUCAUAUAUCGUAUAUAAAUCAUUCCUGCCCUAGCGCUUAUAAAAAAGAUAUACAGGUGCCAGUGUGCCCUUUGUGUAACACCCCGAUUCCACAAAAACGAGGGGAUCCUCCAGACUUAGCUGUGAGCAUGCAUAUAGACAGCGACUGCCAAUCUGAUGUUAGAAAGGAUCGUAGAAAAAUAUUUUCCAAUAAGUGUUCAUCUAAAGGAUGCAAAGUUAAAGAAAUAGUGCAGGUUAAAUGCAACGACUGUGGAAGUAAUUUUUGUUUGAAGCAUAGACAUCCUAGCGAUCAUGCAUGUAUUGGCAAAGAAGAAGCAGUUAAACUUAAAAGAUUGAGUACUCUGAAUAAACAUACUACGGUUUCGCAGAACGAUAAUCACAAUAAUUCUGUUGUAUUCCGUAACCUUCAAGGUACAAUGAGUGAAGAUGAAGCUUUGGCUAGAGCAUUACAGGCUUCAUUGCAAGACGAAGGAAGAAAUACUCGGCAAGGGUUACAGCCAGUGCCUUCUGCGCAUAGAAACAGAUGCAGACUUUCUUAAUUCGCUGUUAUUCAAUUUAAAAUUUAAAAAAAUACUGCUGUUUAAACCUUCAUUAAAAAGAGUACAUUUCUACUGUGUCUUACAUACAAUAUUUCAAUAAUUAAGUAGGCGUACCCAUUUUCUACGAUUUAAACAAGUUAGAAUACAAAAAUAAUUUUUAUGCGAAAAUAAUAAUACUUAUCAAUUAAUUAAGCAAUGAAUUACAGCUGUAUCAGAUGCUAAAUCUUUUGGAUAUAUCUUUAAGUAAUAUGCAUAUUCAAAUAUCUUACAAUUAGAUUAAAAAUAUUUUAUAUCUAGCACGAAUGUUUCAUUAUUUAUUAUAGUAUUUAAAAUGUUAGUAAUAAUAAAAUUUAAUUUACGUAUGUAUUAAUUAAGAAAGAAACAGAUAGAAUAUGUUAAAAAUAUCUAUAAAUUUUACGAUCUCCAAUAUUAUUAGUUGUAUCAU
rnacentral:misc_RNA from 1 species